UGUAACUGUGCUUUUGAAAUGGUUUCUGGUAUUUUGUUUGAAUCAUUGACGUUUUUUGUUUUAUGGCUGUCGACAGCCAAAUUUUAUUUCAAAAUAUUUAAGAAAAGCACUGCUAGUGUUGAUAAAUUUGCGUGGCACUGUCACACACGACAUGCUUAUGGAAGAAGAGCAACAUUCGACACAGUCUGCAAUGAUGCGAGGACCCACAGCAAUUUUGGAUUCAUUCUAGGAUCCUUAGGAGGCUCUGCUUAGAUGGACAAAGUGCAUGAGGACAUGCAGUAAAGCAACAGGGCAGAUGAAGUGUUGCUCUCCAGGUCCUUUGCCAGACGCGAAUUCACCGGGAAGUGCGUGGAUCCAUGAUUGACCAUGCGACAUCCAUGAUUGUCCGUGCCAUCGUGGCGAUAAUUGACUUGUUAUGCAAUUAGUAGUCGCUAAUGCUUCCAUGCUGGCUCUUUUGCAAUUUCUAUCGCUCUUGUCAGUUUUCCGUUUAUGCUUCUGGCGCAUUAUCAAAUCGGUCUUUUUACUUAAUUAUGUUGGUGUUUUCAUGAGAAAGUAUGUCUCGGAUGUUGGCUUUUUUGUGCAAAACUAG